rnacentral:rRNA from 1 species
UACGGGGGGAGCAAGCGUUGUUCGGAUUUACUGGGCGUAAAGGGCGCGUAGGCGGCCUUCUAAGUCGAACGUGAAAUCCCCGGGCUCAACCCGGGAACUGCGUCCGAUACUGGGAGGCUUGAAUCCGGGAGAGGGAUGUGGAAUUCCAGGUGUAGCGGUGAAAUGCGUAGAUAUCUGGAGGAACACCGGUGGCGAAGGCGGCAUCCUGGGACCGAUAUUGACGCUGAUGCGCGAAAGCCAGGGGAGCAAACGGG